rnacentral:sRNA from 1 species
GAGGGGAGGAAGGGAACAGGUUAAAGAAAACAAGAAACACAAUCAGACCACAGAAAAGCCAGGCAGAAAAGGGUUCGACGGGCAAAAAGAAUGUGGCUGUCCAGAUAAAGAAUGUCUGUCCCGGCCCCGGCCUGUGCUGCAAGUGGUAACUCACCUAGCCGCCUGCCACCCAGGCUCCCGCCCACCCCGCAGCCCCGCCAGCGGCUUCUCGCCUCCCCUCUGCCUCGGAUAGGGUUAGGGCCUGAGGCCUCGCUAGGAGCACCGGCUGUUUCAGGACCUGGAGAAAGGCCCCCAGCUCUACCCUGAGAGGGCGUGCUCGUCCACGCUCCUCCGCAAAUGCUGUCCCUCUUCCCCAGCCCAGGGCCCGGCUCUUCGGUGUGUCUGGGCCAUUCCAACCCCCGUCUCCCCACCUCUCCGCAUGGCCCUCGCGCCUCGAGACUGGGCAGGGCAGGCUGAUGGAGGGGCCGGGAGGGGUGGCGGUUGCCCAGGCUAACGCGUCCGUCG